GGGGGGUGGUGAAAAGGUGACAGGGAGCUGCCCUCGCUCAAGAGCCGGUGGUUGGGGGUCUGAGAAGAAGUCACCAAUAUGAAGUUAUUCGGCUUCGGGAGCCGCAGGGGCCAGACGGCCCAGGGCUCCAUAGACCACGUCUACACGGGUUCCGGAUACCGAAUCCGGGACUCCGAACUGCAGAAGAUCCACAGGGCAGCUGUCAAAGGCGACGCCGCGGAGGUGGAGCGCUGCCUGGCGCGCAGGAGCGGAGACCUGGACGCCCUGGACAAGCAGCACAGAACUGCUCUACACUUGGCCUGUGCCAGUGGCCAUGUGCAAGUGGUCACUCUCCUGGUUAACAGAAAAUGCCAGAUUGAUGUCUGUGACAAAGAAAACAGAACGCCUUUGAUACAGGCUGUCCAUUGCCAGGAAGAGGCUUGUGCCGUUAUUCUGCUGGAACAUGGCGCCAAUCCAAACCUUAAGGAUAUCUACGGCAACACUGCUCUCCAUUAUGCCGUGUAUAGUGAGAGCACCUCACUGGCAGAAAAACUGCUUUCCCAUGGUGCACAUAUUGAAGCACUGGACAAGGACAAUAAUACCCCACUUUUAUUUGCUAUAAUUUGCAAGAAAGAGAAAAUGGUGGAAUUUUUAUUGAAAAGGAAAGCAAGUUCACAUGCCGUUGAUAGGCUGAGACGGUCAGCUCUCAUGCUUGCUGUAUACUAUGACUCACCAGGUAUUGUCAAUAUCCUUCUUAAGCAAAAUAUUGAUGUCUUCGCUCAAGACAUGUGUGGACGAGAUGCAGAAGAUUAUGCUAUUUCUCAUCAUUUGACAAAAAUUCAACAACAAAUUUUGGAACAUAAAAAGAAGAUACUUAAAAAGGAGAAAUCAGAUGUUGGAAGUUCUGAUGAAUCUGCAGUCAGCAUUUUCCAUGAACUGCGUGUGGAUUCAUUGCCUGCAUCGGAUGACAAAGACUUGAAUGUUGCUACUAAGUGUGUCCCCGAGAAAGUGUCAGAGCCUUUACCUGGAUCUUCGCAUGAAAAAGGAAACAGAAUAGUCAAUGGACAAGGAGAAGGGCCUCCUGCAAAACAUCCUUCCUUGAAGCCUAGCACUGAAGUAGAAGAUCCUGCUGUGAAAGGAGCAGUACAAAGAAAGAAUGUACAGACAUUGAGAGCAGAACAAGCCUUACCAGUGGCUUCAGAGGAAGAGCAAGAAAGGCAUGAAAGAAGUGAAAAGAAGCAACCACAGGUCAAAGAAGGAAAUAAUACAAACAAAAGUGAAAAAAUACAACUUUCAGAAAAUAUAUGUGAUAGUACAUCUUCUGCUGCUGCUGGCAGAUUAACCCAACAAAGAAAGAUUGGGAAAACGUAUCCUCAGCAAUUUCCCAAGAAGCUGAAGGAAGAGCAUGAUAGAUGCACCUUAAAACAAGAAAAUGAAGAAAAAACAAAUGUUAAUAUGCUGUACAAAAAAAAUAGAGAAGAAUUAGAAAGGAAAGAGAAACAAUAUAAGAAAGAAGUUGAAGCAAAACAACUUGAACCAACUGUUCAGUCACUAGAGAUGAAAUCAAAGACUGCAAGAAAUACUCCAAAUCGGGAUUUUCAUAAUCAUGAAGAAAUGAAAGGUCUGAUGGAUGAAAAUUGCAUUUUGAAGGCAGAUAUUGCUAUACUCAGACAGGAAAUAUGUACAAUGAAAAAUGACAACUUGGAAAAAGAAAAUAAAUAUCUUAAGGACAUUAAAAUUGUUAAAGAAACAAAUGCUGCCCUUGAAAAGUAUAUAAAACUCAAUGAGGAAAUGAUAACAGAAACAGCAUUCCGGUAUCAACAAGAGCUUAAUUAUCUCAAGGCUGAGAAUACAAGGCUCAAUGCCGAACUGUUGAAGGAAAAAGAAAGCAAGAAAAGACUGGAAGCUGACAUUGAAUCUUAUCAGUCUAGACUGGCUGCUGCUAUAAGCAAACACAGUGAAAGUGUGAAAACAGAAAGAAACCUAAAACUUGCUUUAGAGAGAACACGAGAUGUUUCUGUACAAGUAGAAAUGAGUUCUGCUAUUUCCAAAGUAAAAGAUGAGAAUGAGUUUCUUACUGAACAACUUUCUGAAACACAAAUUAAAUUCAAUGCCUUAAAAGAUAAGUUCCGUAAGACAAGAGAUAGUCUCAGAAAAAAGUCAUUGGCUUUAGAAACUGUACAAAACGACCUAAGCCAAACACAGCAGCAAACACAGGAAAUGAAAGAGAUGUAUCAAAAUGCAGAAGCUAAAGUGAAUAAUUCCACUGGAAAGUGGAACUGUGUAGAAGAGAGGAUAUGUCACCUCCAACGUGAAAAUGCGUGGCUUGUACAGCAACUAGAUGACGUUCAUCAGAAAGAGGAUCAUAAAGAGAUAGUAACUAAUAUCCAAAGAGGCUUUAUUGAGAGUGGAAAGAAAGACCUCGUGCUAGAAGAGAAAAGUAAGAAGCUAAUGAAUGAAUGUGAUCAUUUAAAAGAAAGUCUCUUUCAGUAUGAGAGAGAGAAAACAGAAGGAGUAGUAAGUAUCAAGGAAGAUAAAUAUUUUCAAACUUCUAGAAAGACAAUUUAAACAUUUGGUUCUGGAUACAUGUUGAACUUAGUUGAAUAUAAAAAUCUAGAUUAAAAGUGUGUUUACCAUACUGUAUAAUUCCAUUUACAUGAAGCAUCCAGAAAAGAUAAAUGUAUAGGGACAAAAAGUAGAUUCAUGUUUGCAAGGGGCUGGGGCUGGAAGCUGG
ensembl:lncRNA novel transcript